rnacentral:tRNA from 1 species
GGGGCCGUAGCUCAGCUGGGAGAGCGCUAGGUUGUGGGUUCGAUCCCCAUCGGCUCCACCA